UCAUCAGCGGCUCAGUCAUCCCUGGAGGCCUGGGAUGGGGCAGGAAGAGAGGACAAAGUUCAGUUUUCUCAUGAAGACACAUUGAGGUGUUUCCACAUCUGUGCACUCUUCUAGACUGUAAACCCUUUGAGGGUAAGGCCUGGGCCUGGCUUCUCUCCCUACCCUCACACCUGGCCCGGAGAGGGCCCAGUGCCAGCGCCCGGCAAACAAGCCUGUGGAGAGACAGCACGUCCUCCUGAGUCAUCAGAUUUCACGGGGCUGAGCCGAAGCCCUGCUUGUCAGCAUGUUGCUCACUGAUGGGAAAAGCUUUCCUGUGGUCUAGACACUCCUGACUCCAGUCUAAGGAGACCUUCUAAAGAAGGUUUCUCCCUCAUCCUGUGUGGCAGGGGCUCACGGUGUAUUGGUUACAAAACCCAUGAGCUCUGGAACCGGACAGACCUGAGUGGGCAUCAGAGCUUCCAUUCUUCCUCGAGAAGCUCUCUGGGCUUCAGUUUUUUCGUCUGUAAAAUGAGCACAGUCAUAGUAUCUCUCCAGGAGCUCAGCUGUGACGAUGAACUGGGGUAUGACUUUGUGCCUGGACCCACGAUUAUGCAAAGCUAUCCUUGUCCUUAAUCAUAACUCCCAGCGAGGCAGGGCUCAGGGCUGGUGAGCAUCCCUGCGGGCUCCGAAUCCUGCCCCUCUUUCCACCAGCCUCUCAGUCCAGUUCCACGUCGGGCCAGAGCAAAAUGGGAAAGCUGUGCGUGUUCUGGGCCUCUGGGGGAGUCUUUGAGUGGCUGAAUCUGUGAAUGAUGCUUCUGCAGGUGCCAGGACCCGACAGCCCCAUCCUCGCCCAGCGCCAGAGUCUGCCUGCCAGCCCCUUGUCAGCGGUUACAACCAGCAGCUGCCUCCCGCUGCCCGAGUUUUAUCAAAAGCUCGGUUGAGAGAAAUAAAGUUCAUGGGGGUUACUUAAAGGCCAUGCAUUCCAUCCAUUCUUCCAGAUGAGACUUAUCCCUGAAUCGAGUCGGGCUCUCAUGAAGCUGAGUUGCUCUUGGACCACAUGAUUCAGCUGCCACAAAAUCUUUAUUAUGUCCCUCCCUUAUGAUGGGGCUUUGUGGAAAAAUGGCUGGAGGAGGCAGGCUGCUGCGUUUAUUCUGGGAUGCUGUUGUUGCUAGUUCCCGCUGCCCCAGUCAGUGCUCUCUGUAAGACCUAGAGGGAAAUAUAUUUUAGGUUCCAGUUCCUGGUAAAGCUCCGUAUCCUCAGAGCAAUUGGUGGGCUUCUGACCUCUGGGCAAGGGGACUCGGGAAACUGACCCCCAUUCUCAUGUUACUUGGGCUGCCGGGAAGCUCGGAUUUGGGGCUCAACUAGAAGAACCCUCAGGGAUCUCUUGACCUGUGACGCAAGGGAGAUGACUUCUAUCCAGACACUGAUUUCUAACAGAUGGGAUUGUUAGGAGUUAUUAUGAUUAUUUUGUAUGUAUUUCGUUAGUUGCUUCGGGCUCUGGUGGGACCAGAGUGGGACCGGAGUUCCUGGAAAGCAACAAAUGGAGAGCUGGUUGGGGUGGGUGGGAGAAGCACCAGGGAGGAGGACACAAAGGGCUGAAAAUGGCACAAGCUUGGUGGCGGCGGGGGGAGGGGGGAAAGUGGUUUCUAGGCCACCGUGGAGGUGAGGGAGGUCUGGUCUUCCUGAACCAGAGGGUGCGAAGAGGGAUUUUUCCAUGAAUUUGAGAAGAGAACUGCAGCCCUUGCUCAAUUUGAAGUUCUCCCUGAAGCCCCCUCUGGCUUUCUGGGUAUUUCUGUGAUGUUGUGAAACACCGAAACUUACAGUGUCUCCUUUCUCUUCCUCUUCCCUCCCUACCGGAGGCCCUCCCACCGCCUUUUCCCUUUCCCUUCCUUGCCCCCUCCAGUGACCACGGCCCUCAGUCCCUCCCCGGGCCCUACUGUGGCUGUGCUGCUGGAGCAAACGGAGGAGGCAAGGACUUUGGACCCCUGCGGGGAAGCCACCACUAACUGAACACUCUACUCUGAGCCACACACAUUUAGGAACCAACGUGGCCGCCAUUUAUCUGAUUUAUGUCGGGGGUCCUGUGCCGCAGCAGCUGGUGGCACAUUUCCUGUGCUGUCCCCGCCAGGCCCCAUCACCUAACCUGUUUGUGUGUCUAUCUGGGACAGGCUUCUCAGCUCCCGUGCUGUCGAUGUGAGGGGAAGGGGCAGAAACUCCUUUGCUGUGGGGCCUGUCCUGUGCCUUGUAGGGUAGCUGGCAGCAUGCUUGGCUUCUGCCAGCUGGAUGCCAGGAGCAGCCCCCACCCCGUGACAGUCAAAAAGGUCUCCAGACGUUGCCAAAUGUCCCCUAGUAGAAAUGGCAGGGCACUGUCCCCGGGCUGGGAAUGGCCGUCCCUUCCGCCGUUCCUCGCUGACAUCCAUCCCGGACAGAAACCUCUCUGGCGUCCCAACUCGGUAUCCAGUUUGUGCUUCUUCUUACCGCUCUGUUCACUGCCUGCUCACCUUCCGGGCCCACUUUUCUCUUGGGGCUGCCAUCUGCUUCUGACUAGCAGAGGGCAGUGCUUGCACAUUCUAGGUGUCGGUGCCAUGUUGGUUUGGGCUUCUUCGGCCUUCUCCCUCUUUGUCAGCUGUCACCGUGCAAUUGAGGACUCGCAGGCCCAGAGUGCAGGAUGCUAGGGUGUGUCAGAGCACCCAGGACACUAGCCCAGGCCUCUGGCCCUGGAGCCCAGGCCCUUGAACCCCUCCCCCCCCACCCCGCCUCCAGCCAUAUCCCUUCUUUCCGAAUAUGCCUCUGCAUCUUCCUGAAUGUGCCUGCAGAUCAGGCAUAGAAGCCCAGUGAGGGCAGGGAGGCGGCUUGCUGGAGGUCACAUGGCGCCACCUGGACCCCUUUGAUGGGAUGCCAGGUGUCUUGGAUGUUGGAUUGGCCUUUAUUUGGGUCUAGAAAUGGCCAAGUGAUGUUGCCUAAAUGUCUGACAGGAGCCCCCGGCUCUGGUGAGUGGAGGAGGUACAGUGAGGGCUCUUUGCUAGCUCUGCCCGUGGAGAGGAUUGGCAGGGCUCACAGACUCGGAAGGGGCAAAUUUCUGGCUGUGCACAUACCGUCCCGGGUUCUAUGGGCUGUGAUGCCCUCUGUGCCUUGAGUGCUGGAGGAAGAGUGCAUUUUACCAGGCCCGCUCUGAUGAUUGAUGAAGUGGGGACAGAGGGCACUGCGGAGGGGCUUUGUUCCCUAAAUGCCAUUCACAU